rnacentral:rRNA from 1 species
GUCCUAUUGUAUUAUUUAAUAGGUCUGGCCUGCCCAGUGAUAAUUUUAACGGCCGCGGUAUAUUGACCGUGCAAAGGUAGCAUAAUCAUUAGUCUUUUAAUAGAAGGCUGGAAUGAAAGGUUUAACGAGAGAUUAGCUGUCUCAAUUACAAACUUGAAUUUAUCUUUUGAGUCAAAAGACUUAAAUAUAAUUGGUGGACGAGAAGACCCUAUAGAGCUUGACAAUUUUACUUUCUAUAUUUAUUUAGUAAAAUUAUUUAUUUAUAUUUAUAAAAUUGUUUUGUUGGGGUGACAAUAAAUAUAUAUUUAACUUUUAUCAUAAUAUAAACAUUAAUUUAUGAUUUUUGGAUCCAAAAAUUUUGAUCAAUAGAUUAAGUUACC